CCUUUACAGACCGAGGAAAGGAGAACUGAACUCACAAUCCGGGAUGUACCACCUGCGACAGUUAGACAAUUUCUUCACUUCACUUGGGUCAUCAUGAGACUAGUCAUAAAGAGCCAGAUCCUGUGCUGCCUGUUUGAAUACGUGGAAUUUCUGAGUAGGCGGGACCAAAUGCCGAAGAUGGUGUUAAUGGAGCCCGGUGGAGGAAGCAUUGUCGUCAGGGAAAGCGUCAAUGCGUAUUGAUCGACUCGCUGCAGAUAGCCUGUCACAGUAUAGUCAAGUGGGGUGCCAGAAAUUAGAGAUAUUUGUGUAUAACUAUCGCGUUCAGUGAAGACCUCGCGCCUGGCUCAUUGCACUUUGUCGGUGUUGCUGUCGCGGAGGAAUUGCGUUGAAGCUCUGUUCCUGGACUUUUCAAUCACCGACUGAGCUCUUUAACAAACUGCUGCCAUAACAUUGUGCGUCCCCCACGAUUCAGUGACGCUUUUAAACAUUUUUUUUUCUGUUAUUGUUAUCAAAAGUCCCCUCGUCAAGCUGCUUGGCGAAAACGUAUCCUUUAGUGGCUGUACCACGGCUAAAACGGAAAGGCGAGCAUGUUGCAACUGGUUCAUACUUAUAGAUUUUCCUAUGGUGCGAUAAAACCUCCAAUUGUGAGUAAGCGCUCGUGUUGUGCCCUUUCUUGUCCCUGUCGUAUUAGUGCUUUUAAUUUAUA